UCCAUAAAGCCUAGUGUUUAGAACGUCCGCCUUGGACGCGGGAGGUCGUGGGUUCGAGUCCCGGCUGUGUCAU